AUGCAUUAGAAUUAGAAUCUAAUUAAAUAANAAAUAAUAUUUAUCUCUAUUAAUUUUAUUUU
rnacentral:tRNA from 1 species